AGCAAAAAUUUGAAGGAAAGAGAUCUAGAAAAUAAGAUUUAAUUCAAAGAAGAAACGCAGAGAACAGUCAAUGGUUGAUGAUGAAGAUGUCUCAAGACUUUUAACAGAGUGUACUAUUUCUUUCAUUAUGCGUGGCUAUGGAAAUCUCAUUCAGAAUUUAAGAUUAAAAUCAAUGACUGAAAAACCGUUGUCCACGUUUACAAACAUGAAUUCCCGUUUCCUAUGGUUAAUAAAUUUCUUUAUGAGAUUUGUAGAUUAUUUGGAAGUAGAAUUAGGAAGUGAUUGAACCAGUGUUUCCUCCAGAGAUCAUUUCUUAUAUUGUAUUUGAAGGUUUAAGAACAUCUUGAGACUUAAUCGAAAUCACACAUGUAUAAUGAUAGUAUUGUCAACAUGCAAGGGCGUUGUCUUCACUUGGUUGUUUCUGCAAUAAAGCAUAUUUU
rnacentral:lncRNA from 1 species